rnacentral:rRNA from 1 species
UCCGCAGGUUGUGACAUAAGCAUGUCGUUAAAUUUCGGGGCUCAACUCCGAAACUGCGAUGUGGACUGUGUCGCUAGAGUGUGGGAGAGGCAACUAGAAUUCUCGGUGUAGUAGUAAAAUGCGUUAAUAUCGAGAGGAAUACCCAAAGCGAAGGCAUGUUGCUAGAACACUACUGACACUCAGGGACGAAAGCGUGGGGAGCGAAUCGGAUUAGAUACCCGAGUAGUCCACGCUGUAAACGAUGCACACUAGGCAUUGGCAGUAUCGACCCUGUCAGUGCCGCUUAAUCAAGCUAACGCGUUAAGUGUGCCGCCUGGGGAGUACGGUCGCAAGACUAAA